AUGGCUUCCCUGACCCAAGGGGAGAAAAGGCAGGGAUUAAAAUUACCCUGCGUGAAGAUUUCUGAAAACAACAGAUUAUGCAAUAUUUAUCCAGAUUUCUUCCUCUGCAUUCAUUCAAAACCCAAUGAGCACUCGGCUCAGAUUGAGGUGCUGGGACGUGGACAAAAUGAUUAUGAAUCUCAGAGCCUCUCCUGUUCAGGAUUCCAAAUGGAGCUGAUGUGAAGGAUACACUGUAGUGUAUUGGUAAAAGAAUAUGAAUUCCUGUGUCAACUGACUUGUCUUCAAAUCCCACUUCAAGGACUGGACCAGCAAUGCUUAGGGAAAUGCAAGUAAAAAUGCUGGGUUUUUUCCUUUAGCGUAUUGGCAAAAAGUCAAAUAUUGGUGUAAUACACACUUGUUUUUUUCCUGCCCUGCAUCAGUUCCUUCUGUUCCAUGGCAACAAUAUCACGUACAUUUUGCGUCAAGUCCUAUCUGAAUCCACAUCUACUAUUGGACUGCUCAGUUAUAUGAGCCAAUAACUUCCCAUUUUAGUUUAAACCACUUUGGGUCAGUUACCUAUUACUUGAAACUGAAUUGCAACUCUCACAACUGGUAAUUUCCCUUUCCUGGGAAGGUAUGAGGAAGGUUUCAGCCAGGCACCUGGUGGCAGACCCCUUCACGCAACACCAGUUGCAUCAGUAGGAUCUAUCGCUUUUUUCAGGAAGCCUCUUGUACUAAGUCUUUUGCAGAGACUGUGGAGGGCCCCCACAUUGAAGGCUGUCUGAUGAAUGGGACUCAAUGUAGGGCGAGAGUAGAUCUGAGCAGUGCGAGAGAUGUACUGUAUCAGACACAUUGUGUGUGCCGCUUCACAUCGCAUCUUCUCAGCCAGCAUUUGACUCCAGCCACUGUUGUAGCAACGAGCUUUGUGCAAAUAUAUUCUGACAGUGCCUCACUUCAUCUGCAUUAUGGUUUCCUGCACUGGGAAUUCUCUAAUGCUGUGCUGUGAGAUGGCUGUGGAAACCCACUCAGGCAUGCGCAACCUAAAAGGGCAGGGAGUUAAAGCCCAAUGGGGCAUCCCUUUCUAAUGGGGGAUGAGAGCUGGUGGAUAAAUGAGGCAUAUUCUCCAUGGCUCCUCAGAAGGUCUUAGUGGGUCAUGCCCUAGUAACACAGCAGUGACCAACUUGAUAAUAUACUCUUGUAUUGCCCUUCCCUCUUGGCCUCACUUUCCUGGAUCAUUUCCCAAAUAAACUGCUUGCAUGCAAGCCCUUGUCUCA
rnacentral:lncRNA from 1 species